rnacentral:rRNA from 1 species
UACGAAGGGUGCUAGCGUUGUUCGGAAUUACUGGGCGUAAAGCGCGCGUAGGCGGCGACACAAGUCAGGGGUGAAAUCCCCAGGCUCAACCUGGGAAUUGCCUUUGAAACUGUGUUGCUUGAGUGUCGGAGGGGAUAGCGGAAUUGCUAAUGUAGAGGUGAAAUUCGUAGAUAUUAGCAGGAACACCGGUGGCGAAGGCGGCUAUCUGGACGACAACUGACGCUGAGGCGCGAAAGCGUGGGGAUCAAACAGG